rnacentral:rRNA from 1 species
GAUGAACGCUAGCUACAGGCUUAACACAUGCAAGUCGAGGGGAAACGAUAUUGGAAGCUUGCUUCCGAUAGGCGUCGACCGGCGCACGGGUGAGUAACGCGUAUCCAACCUGCCCGUCACUUGGGAAUAACCUUGCGAAAGUAAGACUAAUGCCCAAUGACAUUUAUAGAAGGCAUCUGAAAUGAAUUAAAGAUUUAUCGGUGAUGGAUGGGGAUGCGUCUGAUUAGCUUGUUGCGGGGUAACGGCCCACCAAGGCGACGAUCAGUAGGGGUUCUGAGAGGAAGGUCCCCCCANAUUGGAACUGAGACACGGUCCAAAACUCCUACGGGGAGCAGCAGUGAGGAAUAUUGGUC